rnacentral:miRNA from 1 species
UGGAUAAAUGUAUAAAGAAGUUGUGGUAUAUAUAUACACACAUACAUAAAUAUAUACACAUAUAUAUAUAUAUACACACACACAUAUAUAUAUAUACAUAUAUAUAUAUA